rnacentral:tRNA from 1 species
GCGGAAGUGGCGAAAUUGGUAGACGCGCUAUCUUGAGGGGGUAGUGACUUAAUUGUCGUGGGGGUUCGAGUCCCCCCUUUCGCA